GAAAUGCGAUAAGUAAUGUGAAUUGCAGAAUUCAGUGAAUCAUCGAAUCUUUGAACGCACCUUGCGCUCCUUGGUAUUCCGAGGAGCAUGCCUGUUUGAGUGUCAUGGAAUUCUCAACUCUAUUUGCUUUUGUGAAUAGCGCUUGGAUUUGGAGGUUUAUUGCUGGUACUUGUGAUCGGCUCCUCUUGAAUGCAUUAGCUCGAACCUUUGCGGAUCAGCUAUCGGUGUGAUAAUUGUCUACGCCGUUGCAGUGAAGCAUAUCAAUGGGCUCGGCUUCCAAUCGUCCUUUACUGGACAAUGACUUUGACCUUUGACCUCAAAUCAGGUAGGAUUACCCGCUGAACUUAAGC
rnacentral:misc_RNA from 1 species